GGCUUAGUGGUCUAGUAGUAUGAUUCUCGCUUCGGGUCAUCUGAACUGCGAGAGGUCCCGGGUUCAAUUCCCGGCUGAGCCC